UCCAGCCUCGAGGUCGCUUCACGUGCUCCGGCCGCGGGGGGCUUUCAGAGGGGGGAGUCUUAUUUUCCACGCUCGUCCGCGCCCCGCGUCGUCCCAAGAAGUCAGCGCCAGGCGAGGGAGACACCCACUCCGCCAACUAAAGAGCAAAGGCGCGCAAAAGGCAAAGCUUGGGACUCUUCCCCCACCUUCUUCCAGAGGGAACCAGCAGCGGCGACCGCCAGCCGCUCUCCGCCUCAAGCUCGGGCUCCCGUGCCGCCAUUCCGCCAGAACCCCCUGCAUGCUGCUGAGGGCAGCUGGUGGUGGUAGCCUGGGCUCGAGCCCCGCUGCUUUCCCCCUCCCUCGCCUCGCCUCGCUCGCCGCGCCUCCCCGUUUGUGACCCCCUCAGCCUAAACGCGCCGCGGAGAGGCGAGGCGAGGCGAAGAGGGCAUUUCGGGCCGGCGGAGGAGACAAUGAACAGCGGCAAAAGCGAGCAAGAGCUCAGCCCGGCCGAGCCGAACUUGCAAGAGGAAGAGGUACGGACACUCUUUGUCAGUGGUCUUCCUCUGGAUAUCAAGCCCCGAGAGCUCUAUCUCUUGUUCAGACCAUUCAAGGGAUAUGAAGGUUCUCUUAUUAAACUCACCUCAAAGCAGCCUGUGGGUUUCGUAACCUUUGAUAGUCGCUCAGAAGCAGAAGCUGCUAAGAAUGCCUUGAAUGGAAUUCGUUUUGACCCAGAAAUCCCUCAGACGCUCCGACUAGAGUUUGCAAAGGCCAAUACGAAGAUGGCUAAGAGCAAAUUAGUGGGCACUCCUAAUCCCAGCACUCCUGCCACCCCCAAUGCAGUACCUCAGUUCAUUACCAGAGAGCCAUAUCCGCUGGCUCCCUCCCUCAGAGGCUACUUCUCAGGGCUGGAAGUCCCGUCAGUUCUGCUGAAUCCUGUGUAUCAGGUGUGUGAUGGCGGCUACACUCUGUCUUGUGGGUAUUAAUACAUUCUUCCAAAGUCGCUAUUGAUGUCUUACCUUCAUCUUCCAAAUUGCAGUGUGGUCGGCUUUUUAAAAAAACCUCACACAAGCGUGGAUUCCUUCAAGACUUUGCCACAGCCUCUAUCACACAUCUUCUUAAAAAUAAAAUAGAAAGUAUUGAAUAAUAAUGGUUAUGAUAAAAAUGCCAAAUCCAGCCUAAAUAUCUGGUUGACUAUGUGAUGAACCAUAAUAAUAAUAUGUUCCUCUUCUACGAUGUAUAAAAGUUCAAGCGUUUAAAUUCUAUAAGCAUGAAUGAAUUUCUGGUUUGAAAAAAAUUAUUUUCAAGCAGAGCAGCAAAGAGAAGAACUAUUUUUUAUACCAAGCAUUUUAAGUAAGAGGACUGUACCUUGGGUGGAAGAACUGAUUACUGUAUACGUUUGAUUUUUAAAUAUGUAUAAUCUCCUUUCCCUACCACCCUUUUAAGAUGCAUGUUCAAGGCAUGUUUUUAAAUCUGGUUCAGAUUUUUUUAAAAGUGUAUUGUUUGAAAUGCACAUUUUGGUCAUCAGGUUUUGGAGCCUGAGAUGAUGUUUGAAGUGUAUUCCUGUUGUAGUUAUUUUCAUGUUUCGCCUAAUUGUGCCAAAUUAUAUUGAGCAAGACAAUCAGCAAUAUAAUAGCUUUUUCAUGAUUGUAACAGUUGGUGCGCUGUAUGUUAGCAGUGCCUGAUGCUAGUUCCUGCUGUAUUUUUUUUUCUCUAUAUUUGGAUAUGCAAUUGUGUGGGAAUAAGAAGUAGUACACUGUAGAAAGUAGAAAGGCAAUUUCUAUUAUGAAUGGAAAUGUGCAGUCAUAAUUAUGGACAUUUCUACAACUGUGUCUAUUCAUAGUAUACUUUUCUUCAGACAAAUAUAUCUCAUGCAGUUGUGUUAUUAUUUAGAAAAGGAAAAAGGAAAAAAACCCUGGUAUUUGUGAGAAUCCAUCCUGGAUGACCAAGCUGCCCAGGAAGUUAUGUACUCCAAAUCAUGUUUCUUACAUCCAUAUCAUCUACUUUUGUAAGAACUUAUACACUGUGUGUAUCUUUGGAAGGUAGUUUAGUUUUGUGGUUUUGUUCCAGAUAUAAAGCAGAUUGGUUCUGGUCAUUUAUUGUUAAUCAUAUUCUUGGGGAAGGUAAGAGGUGACUGGACCAUUGACCCAGAAAACUGAACUUCAGCUGUUGAUCCCAGCAUUUCAUGCUGAUGAAAAAUGCCAAAGGUUUUUGCUGAAUCUGAUUCUAAUGAAAUGGCCAUUGUUGGGACAUUUGGCUUGCCAGCUAUUCUUGAUUUUUCCCAGAUAAUCUCAGUAGUAGUAGUCCGUCCCAAAUCUAUGCACUGAUGCCAGACAGUGGAUUUUGAAGUGGCAGCAGUAGCAGCCCCAUUGCCCUCAUGGUCAAAACUCCCUGCCAGGAAGAAAUCUUCAAGUGCCCACUUUUAAAUAGCUAUUCAACUUCACCUACUGUAUGUCUGUGCUUUUGGGGGGAAAAAAGAGAAUAGAUAAAGCUGCCUCUCAAGGAACAGAGCCAUACUGGGAAUGAUUUCAGGCACAGCGUGCCAAGGAAAAGCUACUUCAAACUUUCCACUUUCUUGAAGGGUUUUAUCUUUAGGGGCCAGAUAACGGCUGUAUCCAUAUGACAUUAGUCAGUCUGGAUGGACUUUAGUACUACAAUGGGACUCUGGAACAUUGCUUUUUUUUGGGGGGGGGGGAUAUCAACUUUAGCUCAGGUGUGACUCACAAAUUCACCUGUAACCAAAGGCUGUACCUCUUAGAAGCUAAUGACCUGAAUUACAGAGGGUUUUUUAAAAUCUGCUUCCUGUUUCCACUUUACAUGGAUAUAUAUGGUCUAUUGAAUUGAAUACAGCUUGCUUCUAAGUGCAUAAGAUUGGACCUGCAGUUCUUUGGACAGCUAGGAAUGCAGCUACCUAGGGCAGAAGAGUUCCUAUAUCAAUCAUUCGCGUAAAAUUAUUCUUCCCUCAAUUGCUGAAGGCUGCCAGUGCCAGAAAUCCCUCCCUGUUCUCCCUUCAGCUGCUAGCCCACAGAUUUUACAAUAGUGACAAGUCUGGCUCUGCUGGCUUGCUUAGUAGGGAAGCCAAUAGGGUUAAUAGGGUCAAACUUUUAUGAAGCAGCUUCUCUGCCAGGAUUAUUAUCACUUAUCCUGAAAUAAGAUACAUUGGUUUGUAAGAAAUAUAAAUUAUAUGUCAAAAUGUAAAAGACUUUUAAGAAUGCAAAAUUGCAAGAGGGUUGCUUGGCUUGUUCUCCUCUGGAGCUACAAGUCCUGAGAGUUGUACUCUGAACACAUCAUAAGUGUCCCAAGCUGGAACUGUAAAAUGCCCAUUACUAAGCAAACAAUAUGGAUAAAUUGAGAAAAUUUAAAAUAUAACUGUAGGUGGUUAAACAACCCUAAAAAUAUUUGUGCUGGAUUGUUUCACAAAACACUUGAUUUUUCUCUACAGCCUUUUUACUGGCAGUAACUGAAUUAUACAAUGCUUCCAAUUUGUCUAUGAUUUUUUUUUAAAGAAAAAAGUUGUUAAAAGAUACUUUUCUAUUAUAAUUUUCUAAAA